rnacentral:lncRNA from 1 species
AUAGAUUUAAAUACAGCUAUUGAAUACAUUUGUAUUUAGAUGCAUACAACAAUAUACAAUUGAUGUAGGCUUCAUUAUUAAUUCUUUAUACAAUUGCAUGUAAUUUCUCAAUCAUUAGUGCUACCUUAAUUUUAAACAAAUUUCAGUUUGAUUCCAGAUCUUUGAUUGUAUUUUAUUUUUCAGAUUGUUUACAAGGACAUCUAUCCAACUAAUAUAGAGGUUGUCACUAUUCAGAUUCCUCAUGUAGGCGCUGAUGUUGAGAACAAACCUACUCCUGCUCAUUCAGACAAGUCAGGAGAGGAUUCAGAUGACUUUUGUCCUACACCCGAUCUUCAAUGUAUGAAUAAACAUGUUGCAAGUGCUGCUCCAUCUUUAUCACCGCCCUAUAAAAAGCACAAGAAAUACAAAAGGAAUUCGAAUGAAAGAGAGUAUCAAUCCAAGAUUCCUCUUGUUUGUGUAUCAGAAUUUGGACAAAAUAUUUUACAUCACAAUUAGCUGCCAGAUUCAAAUAAUGACAAAGUAUCUUUUUUGAGGAAAGACCUAAAUUCAUUUAAAGAAUACGUGAGUGCUUAAUCACAUAUUAAACAUUACAUUUUAGUGGUUAACAUUCAUAUAUUUUUGGCACAAGCUUCUAGUUAUUUCUGUCUUGUAAAGGUUGUGGGAGAGUUCAAGUCUCUGAGAAUGCUGAUCAAUGAUAACUUCAAGAUACUUUCUGACCAUCUUUAAUACAAUCAACAAAAUGAAAGUUUACACCAGAGAAAGGAACCCAUAGGGAGACGUGAUAAUGGUAUUGACACAAUUGUCGGAGAUAAUGUUGAGGUUUAACAUUUUUAACAUCUUUAGCAUAUGUUUAUAUCUCAUGUUUGCUAUUAUACUUACAUAAUUAUAUUUUAAAAGCUGUACGUAUUCGACAAGCAUUUAACUAUCUCACUAAAAUGAAAAAUGAAUUCGAUCAACACCUUUAUUUAAAUAUAUUCAGAUGUAUGUUGACCUUAAUAUGUAAUUGGAAUUAACUAGUGUAUUUAAAUAUAUUCAACGAUAUUUUAAUGUAUUUUGAUUUUUUAUUCUUGAAUAUAUGUGGUGUAUUUCACUAAGAUUUCCAUUAUCAAAAUCAAUUUUCUUACUGUAUUUAUAUGUAUUUAAUUCUAUUCUUACACUAAGUUUCUAUAUUAACAAUGAUACAUACGACUAACAUAAACCAUUGCUUAAUGCUCAAUGUGUGGAGUCAAGAGUUGCAGGGAAUACUACAUCUUAGGAGCCGUACAACAUACCACCUACAUGUCAAGAGGGUGUAUCUACAAAGUUCAAUGUAUCUCAAUUUGAGCUGGAUGACAAGUUUUUUCCCAGUAAAAUUCCAGAAACUAAAAUUGUAAUACACAAUAGUGUAAAAAAGCUGAAUCAACCAAGUACCAUCUCAUAGGAAUCAGCGACCAAGUAGAUGGUAUUCUUCGCCUUAUGAGUCUAACUUCGACUCUGCAGGUCAGUGUUUUUAUAAACUAAGGAUCUUUUUCCUCAUGGUUUUUAAAAUUAAAAGUCUGUAGUCAUGAAUUCAAUAAACAACAGGUACCUUAGUAAAGUUGACCCCCAUUUUUUGAAAAAAGACACUCAUUUAAGGAUGAUUCAAUAACGAGGCCACAUAGUAAAUUAAUCAUUCAGGAAUAUGACAAAUGGGUUCAUAAUGGUCUUCUCGCAAGACAUGAUUAGAGGUGAGUUUUCCCCCGGUAUGUGUAUUAAGUGUUUAUAUUUUAAAAAAAUGUAUAUAAUAUUUUUUUAUAUCAUACUUGUAGAAGUAAUUUGGAAACCCGUUACAAGAACAAUACAACACUUCAUAUACCAUUGAAUUUUGGAGUUGAUCAAGUUAAUUGAAAAAAUUGGUUUUACUUUAUAUCGUUAGACGGGAAGCUAUAGGAUGAUACGUUUUUCCCCUAACUGACUAAUUUUAUUUGAAAAACAACACGCAUUUGAUUGUAUUCUGUUGUAGUAUUUUUACUGUUUUCAAAAACUCUAUAUGAUGAAAUGUUUGAUGAAUUCAAUAGCAUCAUUAUUCAGUUGUAUUCAGCUGUACUUAGUGUUAUUAAACUGUUUUAACAGCUAUAGUCAAUUGUAUUUAACUGUAUUAUUUAGUUGUAUUCAAUUAUAUUUUUCUUGCUUUCAGCUGUAUUUAGUUGUUCUCAACUGUGUUAUAUAUAUGUAUUUCUCUGUAUUCAGCUAUAUUAUGCUGAAUACAGUUGUAUUCAACAGUUUUAUUUAGCUGUAUUCAGUUGUAUUCAACUAUAUUAUUCAUAUGUAUUUCUCUAUAUUCAACUGUAUUCUUUUAUAGUCUGAUUAAUUGGACUCAGACCAUGUAAUUAAAUUUGUGUAUAGCAUAUCGGCGUCAUAUUUUACUAUCUGAGAAAGAAGGGAAAGUACAAUCAAACAAGCAACUUUAAGUAUACAACUAUUGAUUGUAUAUUCAAGAUAAAAAUUGCUGAAAUCUUCGACAGAUAUGCUGAUACAGUAAUGCUAAUGCAGCCAAAGAAGCGAAUGUGGUAUAUGGGUAGAUAAGGGGCUACAGAUUGCUAGCUAACGUACCUCGGAAUACUGUGGAUAAUAUCUUGAUACAAGUAAACUUGAAGGAGAAACUACACUGGGUAUUGGUUGUUUUUCUCAUUCAAGGAGAGAUGUAUCAAAGUGUAUGACUCGUACAGAUCUGCAAGUCAUGAUGCCUAUGUCGCUUAUGAGAUUGAUAAGGUAGCUAAGCUUGUACCUCUAUAUCUUUCAAUCAGUAGUUACAGAGAUAGUCAACGAAUAGACUGGUCUACUUACUCAGCAUACACUGACAAGUUACAUAAUGAUCCCUUUGAAGUUUUUUUCAUAUCAAAUCUGCCUCAAGAGAAAGCUGGGAGACUGUAAGUAUUCAAUCAUCAUUCUUGUAUGUUAUAUACAAAUCUAAUAGUAUGAAUUAUUUUUAAUUGUUUCAAUCAAUUAUUUAUUAGGGAUUGUGGGGUGCAUGUUACGGAAUAUGCAGAGUUUCUGAGCACUCUCGGUGAGAUUCCACAAAUAAUAUUUAAUUCUAAUCUACUCCAUCAAAGAUAGUGUUCUCUCAUCUGGGACUAUGCUAUGUGGAAGAUAGACGCUGAUGCUAUAAGCAAGAAUGAAGUGCCCUCAAAGAUUGCUAGGCAAAUCACAGAGUCAGAUUCAAAUAUGCAGAUAGUGUUAGAGUAGCUUUAGGUUAAUGUAGUUUUGGAAUGCAGUUCGAAGAAGAAUACUGUUUUGGGUAGUUUUUGGUGAAGAUGGUAUUUAGUUAGAAAAACUUAUCACUUUAUCAUUUGUGCUCGUGUAUGACAAUUACAAAUUUUCAAUCGAUGUUUUACUGGUUUGUUCAUAGGUAUUCAUGCUUAUUCGUCAGUUUGUAUUCAUAUGUAUCUUACAUGAUUCAAGUAUGUAUUAAUAUUUUAGUAACUUUGCUUGAACAAGUUUUAGGUAUUGAACAUGUUAAUAUACAAGUCAUAAACUUUAUGUAUUUUGAUGGUAGGUUAUAAUAAAUAAUUCAUAUGUAUUUUUCUGGAUUCAGGUGUAUUCAAUUGUAUUCAACUGUAUUAUUAAGAUGUAUUCAACUAUAUUCAGCAACAUUCAUUUUUAUGUAUCUUUCAUGUUCAGUUAAUGCAUAUUAAAAAAUACAAAUUCAGAUGUAUUAAACAGGUUAUACAUAUUCAGUUGUAGUGAGUUAUAUUCACCUGUUUUAUUCAGCUGUAGUUAGUUGUAUUCAACUGUAUUAUUCAGCUGUAUUCAAUUGUAUUUUUUUUGUGUUAAGCUAUAUUCAGUUGUACUCAACUGUAUUAUCAUAUGUAUUUCUCUGUAUUCAGCUAUAUUCUUUAAUAUGUAUCUUUCAAAUUCAGUUAAUAUUUUUAAAGAAUAUAAAUUCAGAUGUUAAACAGGUUAUUAUCUAGUUAAAGAAUAUAAAUUCAAACUUAUUGAAAUUGUUAUAUUUUAGCUGAGUAUAUAGAUGUAUUCCGAUGAAUUCUGUUAUGUAUAUAACUCAGGCACUGUCUAUAAUAACUAUCAAAGCAUAUAUGGACAAGGUUAUAUUCGAUUGUAUCCAACACAUUAAGGCAACUAUAUGUAUUCAGAAUCUAUUCACGAAAGUUAUUUUUACUUGAUAAUAAGAAUUUAUUACUUUACAAUGUCAUCAUAAGUAUUGACAAAUCGUUAAAGCACCAAUACAUGUCAGAGAUUUAAUUAUUUAUUACAUGAAGCAUUUCUGCACGUUCGCUUGUUAUGUUCUGCCUGCCCACAUAUGCUACAUGAAUGUUGAUUUUUCGACUGCAGCUAUCACACCUUCUUUUUUACACACCUGCCCUGAAGGGUAAAAUGUAUAAGGGAGUUUUUUCAAUUAAAGUGGCAUUAUUCGAAAUGAGAUUAUUUAUUUAUUUAGAGUCGCCACUUGGGAUAGGUUUUGUUUUUGGUGUCCCAAGUCACAUGUUUAUUUAAAAUCUCAAAUCAAGAAAAUUUUUCGACUGCCCAAAUGGAGUCUGCGAACUAGAAAUUCUAAAUAAGGAAUUUUGUUGACUCGAAGGAAGUCAUUAGGCACCCUCGGAUCCCGUGAUUCUAGCAUGGUCACUUAAACUAUUAUAAUUGGCUAAAAAUUAUGAUUUUUAUACAUGUUCAUCCUAUAGUGUAAUUUUAAUAUUUUUUACCACUUUUAAUAUUUUUAAGAGAAUUGCAAUGUCGUAAAAAUAUACCGUGAAUCACGUCACAUAAAUGCACCCGUAAUUUUUGACAUAUUUUAAUUUUAUUGAGAUUUUGAUUUGGGUCAUAUAAAUGCGCACCCAAAUUUAGGAAGGUAUAUUAUUCAACUAACGCACCUAAAAAAAGCUACGAUAUUCAUGAAUUAUUUUCCGUGGAUAUCAACAUUCUGCCGAAGGGUCAGGCCCAAUGGCCAUUCCAUUUAACACCAACUAACUUAUAAAACAACUUGAAUUUAUGUACUUAAUCAGAUUAAUGUGAGUCAGAUUGAAUGCUAAAAAGACCAACAAAUUAAAAGGUGAAACUACAAUGACAUUUACUUUGCAUCAAUAAUCCUUCCAAAUUUCUACUCCUUUCUUUCCACUUAAAGUAGCUCAAUAAUGCAAAAUUUGUACCCAAACAGUAGUGUAUCAAGUAAAUAUUCAUGCUUGCUAAUUUUCUUUUAGCUCAUUUGGUCUAUUAUCCAAAAGAAAUGAAAGAGAAAAGACCAACCCAAAAGAACGCACUAAAUUUUCCCAACUAAAAUCAAUAAGGCUUGACAAAUUAACUUGUAAAACUAAAUUGCUACUACUAAAUUGCUAUUAUAAAACUAAUAACAAGAAACAUAAAACCAGUAUGGUCAUCAGAAAGAUCUCAAAUUAAGAAUGAUUUACUACAUAAAAUAAAAAAACAAAAAAAAAAAAACAAAUAAGCAAUAUCCAACAACCAUCCCAUAACAAAUACACUUUAAAAAUUCUAUAGUAGUAAAGUUUAAGUUUAAACAUUCAGAUGGAGUAAACAGGAUUUCAAAGACGAACCUCUAUUGCUUCAGUGUAAAUGGGUUACAACAACAACUAUGGGCGAAAGAUUAGAUCUCGACCGGAGCAGAAUCGAUCGACUAUUACCUCGACCAUGACCUCGAAAAGGACCUUGGUCAGAAACUCAACUGCUAGGUUGCUUAAAAGCUGCUGUGUUUGGACUGAUUUCGUGGCUCUAACUGACUGAUUUUGCAGCAGCUGUGGUGUUUUAUUUGGAUGAUUUAUGGACUGGUUGUCAGGGCUGGUCUGGAGGUAUUUUUGGUGCUUUUUGGGAUGAGAAAGGGAUGGUUUUCGAGCUAGUUUUGGCGAGCUUAGAGGAGCUGCUGUUGGUUGUAUUGAAGGAGACAGGGGCGUUGAUUUGACUAUGAAUCAGCCAUGGAAAUGGCUACUUGAAGAAGAUGAUCCUAGGGGUCGUUUCUUGAUUCAGCGGCUAUAGGAACCUUUUUAAUCCUAAGUCUAAUGGCUGCUUCAAUCAAGGUCUCUUUGGAGAAGAAGAUACAUGGGGGAAGGGGGUUCUUUUUUCCUCAAUUGCAGCUUUUUUUUAGAGGGUGUAUGUUGUAGAUUUUAGGUGUAGAUAGUAUUAUAUAGGGUAGAGAUAUGGAGUUAUGGAUUAUUGGCUAGGGAAUAAGCUUGAGUUAUGUGAGUUUAGGUAGAAAAAUUAUGAUUUGGG